UUACAUGCAAACGUGCAAACGAAGUUUUCUAAAAUCUCCAUUUUGGCCGGAUUUUUAGAAAUAAUCGUUUUCUGUGAUUAAAAACACGGUUUUCGUGUAAAUGAGAGGCCAAACCGCAGGAAAAUAUCUGCAUCUUCCCUUCGUGUAAACUGGGCCUUCAUGUUUUUUGGAGCUCAUUCCACUUGUGUGCAGCAUAGUAUUGAACACGCUUUUUCCAAGUUCAGUGUGAACAAAAGAACUUGACGAUUUGGAGCAGAGGCCGAGAAAAGCAGUAUGCGUGACAGAAUAAUGACGGUCAUCAAGAAUGGGAGAUAUCUUAUGACAUUUGACCUGAAAUUGAGACGUUUUGAUGAAUCUCAACCAGCAGUGUUGAUCAAAGCGUUGCUAUCACAUAACACAUAAUUGUGCAUUGUUUGAGGAAGUGACGCAGUGUCCUCUCGUCACCUCUUGUGCAGACGGGCCAGGACUUCCUCGGAAACCUUUCCUCUGCGCUGAGGGGGCUAAACGCACAUCAGAGGAGGUCACAGGUUGCCAGGGGGCCCCUUCUGGUUGGUGAUACACUGUGGCCCUGGAUUAUUAUGUUAUUUAAGUAUAUCGGGCCUUUAAAAACAAGUUGGAGCAUAAGUUUGAAUGAGUUACAACCCUGUUCUAAUAGCAGCGAAUACUGUAAAGCAUUGUUAUUGACGAUUAACUUCACAGUUAACACUAUAUUUAUGUCAAACUUUGUUUGAGUCCUCUAAUAAAUAUUAAUAUUCAUAAAAAAUACACCGUUAAAUGUGUAAAUCUACUAUUUGUCUUUGGGGUGAUGUGACUUUCAAUAAAAAUGACAACA